UACGUAGGGUGCAAGCGUUUGUCCGGAAUUAUUGGGCGUAAAGAGCUCGUAGGCGGUCUGUCGCGUCGGCUGUGAAAACCCGGGGCUCAACCCCGGGCCUGCAGUCGAUACGGGCAGACUAGAGUGCGGUAGGGGAGACUGGAAUUCCUGGUGUAGCGGUGAAAUGCGCAGAUAUCAGGAGGAACACCGGUGGCGAAGGCGGGUCUCUGGGCAGUAACUGACGCUGAGGAGCGAAAGCGUGGGGAGCGAACAGGA
rnacentral:rRNA from 1 species